CCUACGGGAGGCAGCAGUGAGGAAUAUUGGUCAAUGGACGAGAGUCUGAACCAGCCAAGUAGCGUGAAGGAUGACUGCCCUAUGGGUUGUAAACUUCUUUUAUAUGGGAAUAAAACGUUCCACGUGUGGGAUUUUGUAUGUACCAUAUGAAUAAGGCUCGGAUAACUCCGUGCCAGCAGCCGCGGUAAUACGGAGGAUCCGAGCGUUAUCCGGAUUUAUUGGGUUUAAAGGGAGCGUAGGUGGAUUGUUAAGUCAGUUGUGAAAGUUUGCGGCUCAACCGUAAAAUUGCAGUUGAAACUGGCAGUCUUGAGUACAGUAGAGGUGGGCGGAAUUCGUGGUGUAGCGGUGAAAUGCUUAGAUAUCACGAAGAACUCCGAUUGCGAAGGCAGUUCACUGGACUGCAACUGACACUGAGGCUCGAAAGUGUGGGUAUCAAACAGGAUUAGAUACCCGGGUAGUC
rnacentral:rRNA from 1 species